rnacentral:lncRNA from 1 species
GGGGGGUGUGUGGUAAAAGGCUGUGUGUGUGGGCAUGUGGGGUGUGUGGUAAAAGGCUGUGUGUGUGGGCAUGUGGGGUGUGUGGUAGAAGGCUAUGUGUCCGGGGUGUGUGGUAGAAAGCUGUGUGUGGGGUCUGUGGUAAAAGGCUGUGUGUGGGGUCUGUGGUAGAAGGCUGUGUGUGUGGGGUGUGUGGUAGAAGGCUGUGUGUGGUAGAAGGUGGGGUGUGUGGUAGAAGGCUGUAUUUGGGAUGUGUGGUAGAAGGCUGUGUGUGUGGGUAUGUGGGGUGUGUGGUAGAAGGUGGGGUGUGUGGUAGAAGGCUGUGUGUGGCAGAAGGCUGUGUGUGUGGGGUGUGUGGUAAAGGCUGUGUGUGUGGGCAUGUGGGGUGUGUGGUAAAAGGCUGUGUGUGUGGGCAUGUGGGGUGUGUGGUAGAAGGCUAUGUGUGUGGGGGGGUGUGGUAGAAGGCUGUGUGUGUGGGGGGGGGUGUGGUAGAAGGCUAUGUGUGUGGGGUGUGUGUGGUAG